rnacentral:rRNA from 1 species
AGAGUUUGAUCCUGGCUCAGGAUGAACGCUGGCGGCGUGCCUAACACAUGCAAGUCGAGCGAAGCGAUUUAGCGGAAGUUUUCGGAUGGAAGUUAAAUUGACUGAGCGGCGGACGGGUGAGUAACGCGUGGGUAACCUGCCUCAUACAGGGGGAUAACAGUUAGAAAUGACUGCUAAUACCGCAUAAGCGCACAGCAUCGCAUGAUGCCGUGUGAAAAACUCCGGUGGUAUGAGAUGGACCCGCGUCUGAUUAGCUAGUUGGUGAGGUAACGGCUCACCAAGGCGACGAUCAGUAGCCGACCUGAGAGGGUGAUCGGCCACAUUGGGACUGAGACACGGCCCAAACUCCUACGGGAGGCAGCAGUGGGGAAUAUUGCACAAUGGGGGAAACCCUGAUGCAGCAACGCCGCGUGAGUGAAGAAGUAUUUCGGUAUGUAAAGCUCUAUCAGCAGGGAAGAAAAUGACGGUACCUGACUAAGAAGCCCCGGCUAACUACGUGCCAGCAGCCGCGGUAAUACGUAGGGGGCAAGCGUUAUCCGGAUUUACUGGGUGUAAAGGGUGCGUAGGCGGAUUGGCAAGUCAGAAGUGAAAGGCGGGGGCUCAACCCCUGGACUGCAUUGGAAACUGUUAGUCUUGAGUGCCGGAGAGGUAAGCGGAAUUCCUAGUGUAGCGGUGAAAUGCGUAGAUAUUAGGAGGAACACCAGUGGCGAAGGCGGCUUACUGGACGGUAACUGACGUUGAGGCUCGAAAGCGUGGGGAGCAAACAGAAUUAGAUACCCUGGUAGUCCACGCCGUAAACGAUGAA